rnacentral:rRNA from 1 species
UUACGGUCAAAUCACGCUGAAACACCGUUUCUCGUACGAUCACCGAAGUUAAGUAGCGUAGAGCCAGGUCAGUACUUAGAUGGGGGACCGCUUGGGAACACCUGGUACUGUAAG